rnacentral:tRNA from 1 species
GUAAAAAUAUUUUAUUUUAGAAUAUUUAGUUUGCAACUAAAAGGAGGAUUUCUUUUUAC